UUCUUAGAGGGACAAGCGGCUCCUAGCCGCACGAAACAGAGCAAUAACAGGUCUGUGAUGCCCUUAGAUGUCCGGGGCCGCACGCGCGCUACACUGAAGGAAGCAGCGUGUUUUUAUCCCUGUCUGUAAAGACUGGGUAACCCGUGGAACCUCCUUCGUGAUUGGGAUAGGGGCUUGCAAUUGUUCCCCUUGAACGAGGAAUUCCCAGUAAGCGCGAGUCAUAAGCUCGCGUUGAUUACGUCCCUGCCCUUUGUACACACCGCCCGUCGCUACUACCGAUUGAAUGAUUUAGUGAGGUCUUCGGACCGAUACCCGGAGCGGCCUUUCGGUUGCGCCGGUGUGUUGGAAAGAUGACCAAACUUGAUCAUUUAGAGGAAGUAAAAGUCGUAACAAGGUUUCCGUAGGUGAACCUGCGGAAGGAUCAUUA
rnacentral:ncRNA from 1 species